AUUGAACGCUAGCGGGAUGCUUUACACAUGCAAGUCGAACGAGUGGCGGACGGGUGAGUAAUAUAUCUGAACGUGCCCAAUAGCGGGGGAUAACUACUAGAAACGGUGGCUAAUACCGCCUACUAUUGGAGCGGCCGAUAUCGGAUUCGCUAGUGGGUGGGGUAAAGGCUUACCAAGGCCACGAUCCGUAGCUGGUCUGAGAGGACGACCAGCCACACUGGGACUGAGACACGGCCCAGACUCCUACGGGAGGCAGCAGUGGGGAAUUUUGGACAAUGGGGGAAACCCUGAUCCAGCCAUGCCGCGUGUAUGAGAAGGCCUUCGGGUUGUAAAGUACUUUUGGCAGAGAAGCGGUAUCUGCAGAAUAAGCACCGGCUAACUACGUGCCAGCAGCCGCGGUAAUAC
rnacentral:rRNA from 1 species